AUCCAGCUGAAGAGUCCCAAAUAGGACAAAACGUGUGUCCUGGAU
rfam:Schistosoma margrebowiei strain Zambia genome assembly, scaffold: SMRZ_contig0005430